GCCCCGCUUCGGGCUUUCACUCCACCGCCCAGAUAGCUUUGCAAGGACGAGAAUAAUAACGCGGGAGCCGGGAGGAGGAGCGGGGAGUCUCCCGCCACGCCUCGGCGGGGUCGCAGGCCAGGGGUAACUCUUCAGCUGCAGGCAGCCCGGGGCCGUGCAGCGCCCUGCCCGCCUCAGCCCGCGGGAACCGCUACCGGCCGCCGGCGCCGGGCCGGCCAGCCUCGCGCCUCCGGCCCCGCCCCUUCCUGCCCGCCCCUGGCCCGAGCAGCGGCCUCACCAUGACCACCAAGGACUCGCUGUGGACCGACGGGAGCCCCCAGCCCCCUCCCCAGCAACUGAGCUCCAAGGGGGCCGCCAUCUUGCCGGGGCCAACCUCUGCUAUCCCGGAAGUACUUCUGCUGCCCGAUUUCCGGCAGCUGGACAAGUUCCUGCCACUAACUGGACCAGGGAUUGGAACCUAUUAUGAAAAGCGCCAUCUAUAUGCUAAGCACAAGAUCAGCAGCCUCUGAAGAAGCCUGAUUCAGAUAAAACCAAGAGCUUCCUCACACUCCUUCCCUGUUGAAAUGUGUAACUCCAAAGAACUUGGAAAUGUUAGCAUUCCGAUUUUGCUUGUCUUGUUAGAGGCUUGCACCAGCAACUGCUGAAAACCCACAAACAUGGACAAAUUGCUUUUAAUUCCAACCUUGGAUGAACUGAUUCAAAUAGGAUGGAUUAAUCUAUUCCACACUCUCUGUGCUGCUGCUAAUGAAGAAGACUAAAGAGCAAAUGAAAUACCUCUCACCUUUUCUUUUGUAUUGUCGUUGGGCUUGGGAUGCUCCAGACCAAGCUACUCUAUGAGGUUGUGACACUUCCCUUAACACAAGCCUCCACUUAACAGCCAGGGGAAACCUUUCCCCUAGAUAGCUGAAUAGGUUACCAUCAGUUUCCUCAGCUGCAUGAGCUCCACCUCAAUUGAUAAACAGGAAUAUUUAUAAAGAA